GUUACCUACGGGGGGCAGCAGUGAGGAAUAUUGGUCAAUGGGCGCAAGCCUGAACCAGCCAAGUCGCGUGAGGGAUGACGGUCCUAUGGAUUGUAAACCUCUUUUGUCGGGGAGCAAGGCCCGCCACGUGUGGCGGGAAGGGGAGUACCCGAAGAAAAAGCAUCGGCUAACUCCGUGCCAGCAGCCGCGGGAAUACGGAGGAUGCGAGCGUUAUCCGGAUUUAUUGGGUUUAAAGGGUGCGGAGGGGGAAGAUUAAGUCAGCGGGCAAAUGUCGGGGCGCAACACCGGCCUGCCGUUGAAACUGG
rnacentral:rRNA from 1 species